rnacentral:siRNA from 1 species
CAUUCAAAUUUCUGCCCUA